rnacentral:rRNA from 1 species
GGUUAAUGCUAGCGGUGCGCCUAACACAUGCAAGUCGAACGAUGAAGCUGGAGCUUGCUCCGGUGGAUUAGUGGCGAACGGGUGAGUAACACGUGAGCAAUCUGCCCUUGACUCUGGGAUAACUGCGGGAAACUGUAGCUAAUACCGGAUACGACACCUUCGGGCAUCCGAUGGGUGUGGAAAGAAUUUCGGUCAAGGAUGAGCUCGCGGCCUAUCAGCUAGUUGGUGAGGUAACGGCUCACCAAGGCGACGACGGGUAGCCGGCCUGAGAGGGUGGCCGGCCACACUGGGACUGAGACACGGCCCAGACUCCUACGGGAGGCAGCAGUGGGGAAUAUUGCACAAUGGGCGCAAGCCUGAUGCAGCAACGCCGCGUGAGGGACGAAGGCCUUCGGGUUGUAAACCUCUUUUAGCAGGGAAGAAGCGAAAGUGACGGUACCUGCAGAAAAAGCACCGGCUAACUACGUGCCAGCCGCCGCAGUAA